GGGAAUGUGGCUUAGUGGUAGAGUGCUUGCCUAGCAUGCAGGAAGCCCUGGGUUCAAUUCCUCAGCACCA
rnacentral:tRNA from 1 species